rnacentral:rRNA from 1 species
UACGUAGGGGGCAAGCGUUGUCCGGAUUUAUUGGGCGUAAAGAGCGUGUAGGCGGCCAUACAGGUCAGCUGUGAAAACUCGAGGCUCAACCUCGAGACGUCGGUUGAAACCGUAUGGCUAGAGUCCGGAAGAGGAGAGUGGAAUUCCCGGCGUAGCGGUGAAAUGCGCAGAUAUCGGGAAGAACACCCGUGGCGAAGGCGGCUCUCUGGGACGGUACUGACGCUGAGACGCGAAAGCGUGGGGAGCGAACAGG